rnacentral:rRNA from 1 species
AGUGAACGCUGGCGGUAGGCCUAACACAUGCAAGUCGAACGGCAGCACAGUAAGAGCUUGCUCUUACGGGUGGCGAGUGGCGGACGGGAGAGGAAUACAUCGGAAUCUACUUUUUCGUGGGGGAUAACGUAGGGAAACUUACGCUAAUACCGCAUACGACCUACGGGUGAAAGCAGGGGAUCUUCGGACCUUGUGCGAUUGAAUGAGCCGAUGUCGGAUUAGCUAGUUGGCGGGGUAAAGGCCCACCAAGGCGACGAUCCGUAGCUGGUCUGAGAGGAUGGUAAGCCACACUGGAACUGAGACACGGUCCAGACUCCUACGGGAGGCAGCAGUGGGCAAUAUUGGACAAUGGGCGCAAGCCUGAUCCAGCCAUACCGCGUGGGUGAAGAAGGCCUUCGGGUUGUAAAGCCCUUUUGUUGGGAAAGAAAAGCAGCAGCUUAAUACCCCGCUGUUCUGACGGUACCCAAAGAAUAAGCACCGGCUAACUUCGUG